CACGUAGGGCGCGAGCGUUGUCCGGAAUUAUUGGGCGUAAAGAGCUCGUAGGCGGCCUGUUGCGUCCGCUGUGAAAGCCCGGGGCUUAACCCCGGGUCGGCAGUGGAUACGGGCAGGCUAGAGGUAGGUAGGGGAGAAUGGAAUUUCCGGUGUAGCGGUGAAAUGCGCAGAUAUCGGGAGGAACACCGGUGGCGAAGGCGGUUCUCUGGGCCUUACCUGACGCUGAGGAGCGAAAGCGUGGGGAGCGAACAGG
rnacentral:rRNA from 1 species